UUAAGUGGGAACAUACAAUUCAGACUGGUGUUCCAAUUGACUUAAGAGGGUUUAAUACCAGCUACCUCGUUCUACAAGCUAUGGCCAUGUGGGGGAAUGACAGACGACUGAAAUUUGUUGGGGAUGCAAAGACUCUUCGAAGAAACUUUGUGAUUGAUCUUUUAAGUUAUGAGGACAAUUCGUGCCGAUAUGCCAUCCCUGCAAACAUACAACAAAGACUUGUCGAUAUCGCUAAAAAGGAUUAGCUGAUUAGUGAACAGUUGUCGACACAUUUGUCUGUAACUAAUUUGUGUGAUAUUGAUAAUGUUUUCCAAUAUAUCAGUGCAAACUAUGAUAUUGAAUGAAAUAGUUUUUAUAUGAAUCUCUUUUGAAGCCAUUGAGAUUCCCAACACUUAACUAGCUUCUUGAAGGAUUCUUGUUU